rnacentral:rRNA from 1 species
AUUGAACGCUGGCGGCGUGCUUAACACAUGCAAGUCGAGCGAGUGGCGGACGGGUGAGUAAUGCAUGGGAACGUGCCUGAUGGAGGGGGAUAACUACUGGAAACGGUAGCUAAUACCGCAUACCAUCAGAUGGGCCCAGGUUGGAUUAGCUAGUUGGUGGGGUAAAGGCUCACCUAGGCGACGAUCCCUAGCUGGUCUGAGAGGAUGACCAGCCACACUGGGACUGAGACACGGUCCAGACUCCUACGGGAGGCAGCAGUGGGGAAUAUUGCACAAUGGGCGCAAGCCUGAUGCAGCCAUGCCGCGUGUGUGAAGAAGGCCUUCGGGUUGUAAAGCACUUUCGGCAGGGAGGCGUUACUCGCAGAAGAAGCACCGGCUAACUCCGUGCCAGCAGCCGCGGUAAUUC